rnacentral:rRNA from 1 species
AUGCUCAAAACCAGAGUGCUCGGGUUUGCGGCAAUUGAGAGGGCUAGAAGACGGUAGGCUUCUCGGGUGCUAAGGAUUAGGGCUGGAGAUGCCAGCACAAAAUUCUUCCACACUAAGUACAAUAACAGAAGGAGAAAAAACUAUAUACAUUCUCUGCAAUCUGAAGGAGGGGAGGUCCUAACCCAGCAUCAGGAGAAGGCCCAAGAGAUCUUCAUGCAUUUUUCAAAUAAGUUGGGAUCGAGGAAAAACAGGCCCCUCACAAUCAACUGGGAUCAGUUGCAGCUGCCUCUUCUACCAGAAGUGGGGUUAGAUAACUCAUUCUCAGAGGGAGAGGUUUGGGCAGCCGUUAUGAAUUCUCCGGUUGAAAAAGCCCCAGGCCCCGAUGGAUACACCAGCCAAUUCUUUCGUUCGUGCUGGAGCAUCAUCAAGGACGACAUUAUGGCUGCUUUCUACAAGUUCUACAGGGCGAUCAACUGA